rnacentral:ncRNA from 2 species
UUCUUAUCAAGAGCAGGUGGAGGGAAAAGCCCGAUGAAGCCCGGCAACCGACUUAACCAUUAAGUUAAGCACGGUGCUAAAUCUUGCAGCUAAUUGCUGAAAGAUGAGAA